UCUUCGGCAAUGGGCGCAAGCCUGACCGAGCGACGCCGCGUGCGGGAUGAAGGCCUUCGGGUUGUAAACCGCUGUCGUAGAGGAGGAAAUGCAGGGGGGUUCUCCCCUCUGUUUGACCUAUUCUAGGAGGAAGUACGGGCUAAGUUCGUGCCAGCAGCCGCGGUAAGACGAACCGUACAAACGUUACUCGGAAUUACUGGGCUUAAAGGGUGCGUAGGCUGCGCGGAAAGUUGGGUGUGAAAGCCCUCGGCUCAACCGAGGAAUUGCACUCAAAACUACCGUGCUUGAGGGAGACAGAGGUAAGCGGAACUCAAGGUGGAGCGGUGAAAUGCGUUGAUAUCUUGAGGAACACCGGUGGCGAAGGCGGCUUACUGGGUCUUUUCUGACGCUGAGGCACGAAAGCUAAGGUAGCAAACGGGAUUAGAUACCCCGGUAGUCUUAGCUGUAAACGAUGAGCACUUGAUUGGAGGGUCCUCCAUAGCCUUCCAGUCGUAGCGAAAGUGUUAAGUGCUCCGCCUGGGGA
rnacentral:rRNA from 1 species